rnacentral:lncRNA from 1 species
GAAUCAAGUGGCAGAAUGGCCUCAUCAUGUCUGAUGGAAAGAACUCUCACAGCUGUAGACGUAGAACCUUGGUGCAUGAGGGUUUCCGUGCCAUCUGAUCUGAGAUGACCCUUUGUGCAGUAGUUAUUGUGUAAUUUGUUGAGGCCCGCUGGUCACCGUAAUAGAAAGAGAGAAUUACUGCUUAUUUGACAAUAGAAGAUGACUCAAUUCCUUCCUUAACCAUGAAAAUUUUU